CCAAAUUUUGGUCUAAUAACCCUUUACCAGUUAAAUGGAUAACCUGGUAAUCUUUUUGUAGUGCAUCCAAAUUAUCUCUAAUAAUCUCAUUUAGCUUUUUACUACCGAGACUGCCUCCCAUGAUUAACAACACUUUUUUAUCAUCUUUAAAUUCUGUAAGUUGGUACCC
rnacentral:ncRNA from 1 species